rnacentral:rRNA from 1 species
CUAAGACAUGCAAGUCGAGCGAGAAAGCCCUUCGGGGUGAGUAGAGCGGCGGACGGGUGAGUAACGCGUAGGAAUCUACCCAGUAGUGGGGGACAACUAGUGGAAACGCUAGCUAAUACCGCAUACGCCCUACGGGGGAAAGCGGGGGACCUUCGGGCCUCGUGCUAUUGGAUGAGCCUGCGUAAGAUUAGCUUGUUGGUGAGGUAAUGGCUCACCAAGGCGACGAUCUUUAGCUGGUCUGAGAGGAUGAUCAGCCACACCGGGACUGAGACACGGCCCGGACUCCUACGGGAGGCAGCAGUCGGGAAUAUUGCGCAAUGGGGGAAACCCUGACGCAGCCAUGCCGCGUGUGUGAAGAAGGCCCUAGGGUUGUAAAGCACUUUCAAUUGGGAGGAAAAGCUAAUGGUUAAUAACCAUUAGCCCUGACGUUACCUUUAGAAGAAGCACCGGCUAACUCCGUGCCAGCAGCCGCGGUAAUACGGAGGGUGCAAGCGUUAAUCGGAAUUACUGGGCGUAAAGCGCGCGUAGGCGGUUUUUUAAGUCGGAUGUGAAAGCCCCGGGCUCAACCUGGGAACUGCAUCCGAUACUGGAAGACUAGAAUGCGGGAGAGGGAGGUAGAAUUCCAUGUGUAGCAGUGAAAUGCGUAGAUAUAUGGAGGAAUACCAGUGGCGAAGGCGGCCUCCUGGCUCGACAUUGACGCUGAGGUGCGAAAGCGUGGGGAGCAACCGGAUUAAAUACCCCCGUAGCUCACGCCGUAACGAUGUUUACUAGCUGUAGGGGUCUUGAGACCUUGUA